GUCGUGAUUCGUAACCAAUUUGAUUGAGCCUUAACCCUAAUUUUGAUUUCGACGAUUCUCUCUGAUGGCGAACGACAAGCAGAUCGAAUCUCACCACCGCAAACACCACCGUCCGUCUUCUUCCUCCGAGGAAACCGAUAAAUCGUCGAAGCGGCACAAGCACCGUCACCACAAGCAUCAUCACCACAGGCAUCAUCGCCAUCACCGUGAUAAGAAGCGCGGCGAUGAAAUUCCAUCCGCCGGGGAUGAGAUAGAGGCGAUGGAUGUUACGGAGGCGGAUCCGAUUGGAGUUAGUAACGGUCGUGAAGAGGAUGUGGAGGAAGGAGAGAUUUUAGAAGAAGGAGGGCUUGGCGAUGUUUUGAUGAAGCCGGCAGAUUCCGACGGCGAGUCAGGCGAAAUAAAAUCCGAUCAGUUUCGAGAUAAUGAUUUGCCUCCCCAUGGGGAAAAAGGGCGUCAAGGAGAAGAGGAUAAGAGGUGGUGUAAAGAAGCUGGAGAUCCUUUAGAGAGAGUUAGUAAGAGACGUUAUGAGAAUGGCAGGAGCUCAUUUUCUCCAGGUAGCUCUGAAGAGAAGCAUAAGAGUAGAAACCGGUCUCCGUCAAACAGUAGGCAGUCUAACGAAGUCCGUGCUCGGAGUAGAUCUAAGUCACAUGAUCGGGAUAGGGAAAUUUCCAGAGCAAGGAUUGUUGCGGAGGAUGAGUUUUCAGACAGAGGAAAACAUCGUGGUUCUAGUAGGGAUUAUCAUCAUGACAGAGUUGACUCAGGUAGGACUGAGGAAAGAUAUCACCGACUGGGGAGAUAUGAGGAAAAUGACAGGCAAUAUAGUCGAGAUGUUUUGGAAAGAGAAAGAAGUAAGGAGAGAGACAUGGACAGGGAGGGAAGCAUAAGAGAUAGGGAUUCAGAAGGAAGUAAGCGAAGAGAGAGAGAUAGUGAUCGAAGGAGGGACAGAGAACGAGAAAAGAGGAGGGAAAUAGAGGUUGACCGAGAAAUGCGAAAAGAGAAGGAACGAGAGGGCAGCAUUGAUAGGAGAAGGGAGAGGGAAGGGGAUUAUUUACGGGAUAGAGACAAUGAAAGAGGUAGGAGUAGAGAUAGAACCAGGUAUAGCAGCAGAGAGAGUAGGAGAGAAAAGGAAAGGGUGAGUGAAAAAGAUAGGGAGAAAGGAAGAGAAAUCCAGACUGAUAGGGAAAAAUAUAGAAGUAGUGAUGUGGACUACAGUGAGAUGAGGCACGGACAGUCCAGACACUCAAGAUAUGAUGCGAUAGAUGACUUAGAAAUGAGAAGGCCAAAUUCAUUGAAGGCCCAAAAAUCUAAGGAUGAUAAGUCAGAAGAAACGCGGGGAAAUAAUGAAAGGUCCCGAAAUGAGGAUGACCAAGAUGAUAAUGACGAAGGAGUUGUUUGGAAAUCUCCAGAGGAAGAAGAAGAAGAACUAAAUAGAAUCAAGGAGGAGAGCAGGAAGCGAAUGGAAGCCAUACUGGAGAAACAUAAGAAGAAGCCUGAGCAGCAAAAUGAACCUUUUUCUCAGGAUAAGGGGAAAGAUGUCGCUCAAGAAGUUGCCCCAAAGUCGGAUUCUUCUGCAGUUGUCAUAGCAGCUAAUGUUGGUCAAGCCAAAUCUAACCUUGAUGCUGACGCUGACAAGGCAUCUUUAAUGGCUCCAGCAGGGCUUGGUGAAGGUAGCCCGAAGAGUGAAAGAUCAGCUGACAUGUUUCAUGAUGAUAUCUUUGGAGAAUCUCCAGCUGGUAUUCGGAAAGUGGGAGGGAAAGGUGACGGUGUUCCCAUGGUGAGGAGUGGGCUUCAUGAUAAUUGGGAUGAUGCAGAGGGUUAUUACAGCUAUCAAUUUGGCGAGUUACUUGAUGGUAGAUAUGAAGUCAUUGCUACUCAUGGAAAAGGUGUCUUCUCUACUGUGGUUCGUGCGAAAGAUUUGAAAGCUGGACCAACUGAACCUGAAGAAGUGGCAAUAAAAAUUAUUCGUAACAAUGAGACGAUGCAUAAAGCUGGCAAGAUUGAGGUUCAGAUAUUGAAGAAGUUGGCUGGCGCUGACCGAGAUGACAGACGCCACUGUGUUCGUUUCAUUUCAACCUUUAAGUACCGUAAUCACCUUUGCUUGGUGUUUGAGUCGCUCCAUUUGAAUCUUCGAGAGGUCUUGAAGAAGUUUGGUCGCAACAUUGGUCUUCAACUCUCUGCUGUUAGGGCUUAUUCAAAACAGCUAUUCAUAGCCCUUAAACAUCUGAAGAAUUGUGGGGUUCUUCACUGCGAUAUAAAGCCUGACAACAUGCUGGUUAAUGAGGGGAAAAACGUGUUAAAGCUUUGUGACUUUGGUAAUGCAAUGUUUGCUGGCAAAAACGAAGUUACGCCAUAUCUUGUUAGUCGCUUUUACAGAUCCCCUGAAAUCAUUUUGGGGCUCGCGUAUGACCAUCCGUUGGAUAUAUGGUCCGUUGGCUGCUGUCUGUAUGAGCUUUAUAGCGGGAAAGUUCUUUUCCCUGGCGCCACAAACAAUGAUAUGUUACGCCUUCAUAUGGAACUGAAAGGUCCUUUCCCUAAAAAAAUGCUUCGCAAGGGAGCAUUUAUUGAUCAGCACUUUGAUCAGGACUUGAACUUUUAUGCUACAGAGGAAGACACUGUUAGUGGAAAGCUGAUAAAGAGAAUGAUCGCAAACGUAAAGCCGAAAGAUUUUGGUUCGAUCAUUAAAGGUUACCCUGGCGUUAGCUCACCCAUUCAUCACUGGCAAGUGAAACCACAUUGCCAUUUUCUCCCUCUUAUAUCAGGAAAUGCUGUUGUCCUAGAUAUCUGUACAUUACACAUCUUAAUUUUAUUUAAGGUUCUAAUUUUUGAAUUGUCUCUACCUACCUUCUGCUGCCUGAGAGAGCUUUGGUUACAAUGUCGACAUGGGUGGAGUUCUCAUUACCGACGAUUCUCAGGGGACUUUACUGGUUCUUUAUUGACAUCUACCAAUGCUUAGAGACAGUCCUAACAUCUUUCAAUGGUUUAAAGGCACACAGGAGAAGGUUUUGCUUGGAGGGGAGAGAGCUGCACAAGAGAAUAACAUACAAAGGGUCUUUACUCUCUCCUCCUGCAAGUUUGAAGUGUUAUUUGAGAGUAAAUCAAUAUAAUGAGAUGGAUCAACAAUCAAGGAUCGACACCAUCAACAGUCUCGUGAAUGUAGCAUUGGACGGUUGUCCGAUUUGAGAACGUCAACUCUACUCAGUUCAUCCUACAUGGCACAUUCUUAACAAAGCACUUAUAUUAUGUAAUGACCUCGAUAUUUUAACCAACGUACGACAAGCAAACAACUAGAUUUCAGAUGAUAGAUUAUUGUACCGGUGAAGUUGUCGUGGCAGGGUGUAGGCUGACAUGUGCGGUGUCGGGACAAAGACUUCAAACGUAUUUGAGAUCCGCCUGCUGAGCAGUUUGUACGAUAUUGAUAUUGAUAUUGUCAUAUUGAUGUUGAUAUUGGCGAAUUAGAUCAAGACAAGAUUCUUGUUCUUGUAUGCAUCUAUGUACCUUCUCGUCUCUCUAGUCUUUUCAUUCUCCAAUGGUACGGCUGUUCUAAUGUGAGAACCGCAUUCUCUCGUACCUCGCUGUUGUAUGUUUCAUCAUCAUCCACAAAUCUUCUUUUUUUGUUUUGUUGUAAAAGGGGUUUAGUAUCCGAUUUCGAGGAGAGAUGAUACUUUUAUAUCCUCACACUUUAA